rnacentral:tRNA from 1 species
UCUCUGGUGGCUGAGAUGGUAAAGAAUCUGCCUUCAAUGCAGGGGACCUGGGUUUGAUCCCUGGCUUGGGAA